UUGAUCCUGAAUAAACCUAUUUUUGCUUGAAAAAUAACUGGCAGUCUAUAUGUGUUAGAUUAAUACUAUUAAUAACGGGGGAAAACAGAUUGCAGGGUAUAAUGCGAACUCUUUGUACUAUCUUUGUAACUUUUCUGUAUAUCUAAAACUGUUCUUAAAAAAGUUUAUUUUAAAGUUGACUUAAGGAGUACAAUACAGUUUGUCCGGAAAAGAUGGAAUAGGCCCGGAGCUGUGGUAGUUUCUCUGGCCCCUGAAAAUCUCACUCACACAGCUGGUGAGACCUUUAAUACACAGACUCUGAAACUAGACCACCUGGGUUUGAAUUCUGGGCAUUACCACUUACUAAAUGGGUAAAUUUGGGCAAAUUACUUAACCUUUUUGUGAAUGAUGGCCCCUACUUUUUGCCACGUUAUUAGUAUUAAAUGAGUUUAGUAUGUAUAGAUUGCUUAAAUGAGUGCCGGCACACUGUAAGUUCUAUGUAGGUACUUUGUAAAUUUAAAAACGUGAUGACUAAAAAUUCAUUUAGCAAUUAGCUAUAUAAUCAGACCUGGUAGGGAGAUAUGAGUUUGGCUGCUAUAAACCAAGCAGUGGUUACCAUGGAUAUGUCAGAACCUUGACAGCCAUUGUUAGGACAUUGCAUUACCUUUCAUAAGGGGGCAACUGAGCUUUGUAACUCUGGCAAGAAGGCUAGAAGGGGCAACACAUCUUCCUAUUAUUCUACCCAUUUUAAGUCUUUCUCUCAAAAGAACCAACUUAUAAUCAGAUACAUAAUUAACCACCUCAAGCUUUGCUACCCAGAUGGGAAUGUCCAAAGAAAAUAGACAGCAUGUAGGACAACAUGCUGAAGUCAAUUUGAAGUCAAUCCUGCUAAAAGAAGGUGUCAGAAUAAGACCCAAGAAGAACUAUCAGUAACCUUUGCUUUAGAUGAACCCAUGGAGGAAGGUGAAUAUUCUGGGGGAAAUGGAUCUCAUAUCACCGCUGGAAUGCAUAACACCACUGGAGCUGGUAACACUGCUGGAGCUCAUAACACCACUGGGGCUUGUAUCACCGCUGGAGCUCGUAACACCCCCGAACUUCACUAUGCUCCAAGUGAUGACUUUCAGCCCCCAGCCCCAUACACUGAGGACGAUCUUUUUGAAGAGCCAAGGGCCAAAAGGAGAAUGGACACCUGGGACUCAGAGGAGAUGUUACUGGACAAUCCCUGAUGAAGCCUUUGGAGCCUGUGCAGAAUUUUAACAGAAAGCUAAAGAGAAAAAUGAAGGAACAUCAAAAGAAACAUCUCAUAUCCCUCCUUUAGUAAAUGGAUUCAUCUGCAGAACCAUUAAGA